UACGAAGGAGGCUAGCGUUGCUCGGAAUCACUGGGCGUAAAGCGCACGUAGGCGGAUCUUUAAGUCAGGGGUGAAAUCCUGGAGCUCAACUCCAGAACUGCCUUUGAUACUGGGGAUCUCGAGUCCGGAAGAGGUGAGUGGAACUCCGAGUGUAGAGGUGAAAUUCGUAGAUAUUCGGAAGAACACCAGUGGCGAAGGCGGCUCACUGGUCCGGUACUGACGCUGAGGUGCGAAAGCGUGGGGAGCAAACAGG
rnacentral:rRNA from 1 species